rnacentral:rRNA from 1 species
GACGAACGCUGGCGGCGUGCCUAAUACAUGCAAGUAGAACGCAGUUGCGAACGGGUGAGUAACGCGUAGGUAACUGCCUCAUAGCGGGGGAAAAAUAUUGGAAACGAUAGCUAAUACCGCAUACUGUGAGAUGGACCUGAGUUGUAUUAGCGUGUUGGUGAGGGUAAGGCUCACCAAGGCGACGAGACCUAGCCGACCUGGGAGGGUGAGCGGCCACCCUGGGACUGGGACACGGCCCAGACUCCGACGGGAGGCAGCAGUAGGGAAUCUUCGGCAAUGGACGGAAGUCUGACCGAGCAACGCCGCGUGAUUGAAGAAGGUUUUCGGAUCGUAAAGCUCUGUUGUUAGAGAAGCGUUAACUAACCAGAAAGGGACGGCUAACUACGUGCCAGCCGCCGCGGUAAUUC